GACGAACGCUGGCGGCGUGCUUACCACAUGCAAGUCGAACGAAGAGCGAUGGAAGCUUGCUUCUAUCAAUCUUAGUGGCGAACGGGUGAGUAACGCGUAAUCAACCUGCCCUUCAGAGGGGGACAACAGUUGGAAACGACUGCUAAUACCGCAUACGAUCUAAACUCGGCAUCGAGGAUAGAUGAAAGGUGGCCUCUACAUGUAAGCUAUCACUGAAGGAGGGGAUUGCGUCUGAUUAGCUAGUUGGAGGGGUAACGGCCCACCAAGGCGAUGAUCAGUAGCCGGUCUGAGAGGAUGAACGGCCACAUUGGGACUGAGACACGGCCCAGACUCCUACGGGAGGCAGCAGUGGGGAAUCUUCCGCAAUGGACGAAAGUCUGACGGAGCAACGCCGCGUGAGUGAUGACGGCCUUCGGGUG
rnacentral:rRNA from 1 species